rnacentral:piRNA from 1 species
CCCUGCCUGGUGCUCCUUCUGU